CUGCUCUGCCAAAUUCCAUUUGCUGUACUGAACUGGUGGUGCUGAGGAGAAAGGAUACAAUAGAAGUGAUAAACAUGGGUCUUUACUACUUGCCCUAUGUGUGUACAGAAAGAAUGGCCAAAUCAUGCUGGCCAGUUGUAGCUGUUCCUUCCCUUUAAGCCUCAUAAUUCUGGGUGGCCAAGCUGAGUGGCUCUGGCAAAUUGUUCUCAUAAAUUACAGUUAUGUCCAGGCUGACAAGGAAGGAUAAAGCUGCAGUAAAUGAGAAAGCGGUAUCACUUCCACCUGACCUUAAUUUGUUCAGCGAGAGCUUGAAUUGGUUUAUCAGCUACCCUGCCUGUAAGAAGCCGAAAACCAGGAAGUUGGGAAGGAAUUGAAUUAUUGCAACAUGGGGAGCUCACAGGCUUAAUGUGGUGCCAGUGACCACGAGACUGCAAACACAUGGAAACCUGUGGCCAAGAAAAGGAAGUGGCGCAUAGACUGACACGGUGGUUAUGCAUGUGCUUGAAGAGAUGUUGUUGGCAUAUGAGCACUGCAUGUCAAAAUAUCUGCAGGAAAAUCAUGCGUUAUGAAACUCCAUGUCAUGGUGACCACACAGAUGGAACCUUGAGGGAGGAACACCAGUGA
rnacentral:lncRNA from 1 species